CAGAAAGUCCUGCCAGAACUCUUUGCUGUACCCCUCCACUGCUCUGCUUUGUGUAAAUCCUGCUUGCUAUAUUCCCAGGGAAACUCCAAUGGAAUUAAGCCUCAGAGAUGUAAAAAGAGAAUCAGAGAAGCAAGAACCUGGAAGGAAUCCCAGAUACUCAGCUCUUCACAGAAAGCAUGGGUCCCUCUACCCUCACUGGCAAGCAGGCCUGUGCACCUUCUCUCCCUCCUUUCUUUGCUUCCAUGUAUCCCCACCUCACCCCCUACCCAGAUGAGCUGUUGUUGGCAGCCAAUGUUUCUGGGCUUUCCUUUGGGCUGAGACCAGCUCUGGUUGCACUUAAGAGCAUGAA
rnacentral:lncRNA from 1 species